rnacentral:misc_RNA from 1 species
GAUGAAGAACGCAGCGAAAUGCGAUAAGUAAUGUGAAUUGCAGAAUUCAGUGAAUCAUCGAAUCUUUGAACGCACAUUGCGCCCAUUAGUAUUCUAGUGGGCAUGUCUGUUCGAGCGUCAUUAAGUCCACUUAAGCCUAGCUUAGUGUUGGGAGACUGCUCCAGUGGUGCUACCCUGUAGCUACCCUGCAGCUCCUUAAAGACAGCGGCGGAGUCGUGUUAUCCUCUGAGCUUAGUAAAUCAUUCUAGCUUUCGAGAGUAUCACUUCACCUGCCGUUAAACCACCUAAUUUUUAUGGUUGACCUCGGAUCAGGUAGGAAUACCCGCUGAACUUAAGCAUAUCAAUAAGCGGAGGA